rnacentral:lncRNA from 1 species
GCGGUGCGGGCCGGGCGGGUGCAUUCAGGCCAAGGUCAGGGAGCAAGAGGUGUGCACACCAAAGCUAUUGGAGAUUUGCGUGGAAAUCUCAGAUUCUUCACUGGUGAGACAAUGAAACAACAGAGACAGUGAAAGUUUUAAUACCUAAGUCAUUCCUCCAGUGCAUACUGUAGGUCAUUUUUUUUGCUUCUGGCUACCUGUUUGAAGGGGAGAGAGGGAAAAUCAAGUGGUAUUUUCCAGCACUUUGUAUGAUUUUGGAUGAGUUGUACACCCAAGGAUUCUGUUCUGCAACUCCAUCCUCCUGUGUCACUGAAUAUCAACUCUGAAAGAGCAAACCUAACAGGAGAAAGGACAACCAGGAUGAGGAUGUCACCAACUGAAUUAAACUUAAGUCCAGAAGCCUCCUGUUGGCCUUGGAAUAUGGCCAAGGCUCUCUCUGUCCCUGUAAAAGAGAGGGGCAAAUAGAGAGUCUCCAAGAGAACGCCCUCAUGCUCAGCACAUAUUUGCAUGGGAGGGGGAGAUGGGUGGGAGGAGAUGAAAAUAUCAGCUUUUCUUAUUCCUUUUUAUUCCUUUUAAAAUGGUAUGCCAACUUAAGUAUUUACAGGGUGGCCCAAAUAGAACAAGAUGCACUCGCUGUGAUUUUAAGACAAGCUGUAUAAACAGAACUCCACUGCAAGAGGGGGGGCCGGGCCAGGAGAAUCUCCGCUUGUCCAAGACAGGGGCCUAAGGAGGGUCUCCACACUGCUGCUAGGGGCUGUUGCAUUUUUUUAUUAGUAGAAAGUGGAAAGGCCUCUUCUCAACUUUUUUCCCUUGGGCUGGAGAAUUUAGAAUCAGAAGUUUCCUGGAGUUUUCAGGCUAUCAUAUAUACUGUAUCCUGAAAGGCAACAUAAUUCUUCCUUCCCUCCUUUUAAAAUUUUGUGUUCCUUUUUGCAGCAAUUACUCACUAAAGGGCUUCAUUUUAGUCCAGAUUUUUAGUCUGGCUGCACCUAACUUAUGCCUCGCUUAUUUAGCCCGAGAUCUGGUCUUUUUUUUUUUUUUUUUUUUUUUUUUUCCGUCUCCCCAAAGCUUUAUCUGUCUUGACUUUUUAAAAAAGUUUGGGGGCAGAUUCUGAAUUGGCUAAAAGACAUGCAUUUUUAAAACUAGCAACUCUUAUUUCUUUCCUUUAAAAAUACAUAGCAUUAAAUCCCAAAUCCUAUUUAAAGACCUGACAGCUUGAGAAGGUCACUACUGCAUUUAUAGGACCUUCUGGUGGUUCUGCUGUUACGUUUGAAGUCUGACAAUCCUUGAGAAUCUUUGCAUGCAGAGGAGGUAAGAGGUAUUGGAUUUUCACAGAGGAAGAACACAGCGCAGAAUGAAGGGCCAGGCUUACUGAGCUGUCCAGUGGAGGGCUCAUGGGUGGGACAUGGAAAAGAAGGCAGCCUAGGCCCUGGGGAGCCCAGUCCACUGAGCAAGCAAGGGACUGAGUGAGCCUUUUGCAGGAAAAGGCUAAGAAAAAGGAAAACCAUUCUAAAACACAACAAGAAACUGUCCAAAUGCUUUGGGAACUGUGUUUAUUGCCUAUAAUGGGUCCCCAAAAUGGGUAACCUAGACUUCAGAGAGAAUGAGCAGAGAGCAAAGGAGAAAUCUGGCUGUCCUUCCAUUUUCAUUCUGUUAUCUCAGGUGAGCUGGUAGAGGGGAGACAUUAGAAAAAAAUGAAACAACAAAACAAUUACUAAUGAGGUACGCUGAGGCCUGGGAGUCUCUUGACUCCACUACUUAAUUCCGUUUAGUGAGAAACCUUUCAAUUUUCUUUUAUUAGAAGGGCCAGCUUACUGUUGGUGGCAAAAUUGCCAACAUAAGUUAAUAGAAAGUUGGCCAAUUUCACCCCAUUUUCUGUGGUUUGGGCUCCACAUUGCAAUGUUCAAUGCCACGUGCUGCUGACACCGACCGGAGUACUAGCCAGCACAAAAGGCAGGGUAGCCUGAAUUGCUUUCUGCUCUUUACAUUUCUUUUAAAAUAAGCAUUUAGUGCUCAGUCCCUACUGAGUACUCUUUCUCUCCCCUCCUCUGAAUUUAAUUCUUUCAACUUGCAAUUUGCAAGGAUUACACAUUUCACUGUGAUGUAUAUUGUGUUGCAAAAAAAAAAAAAAAGUGUCUUUGUUUAAAAUUACUUGGUUUGUGAAUCCAUCUUGCUUUUUCCCCAUUGGAACUAGUCAUUAACCCAUCUCUGAACUGGUAGAAAAACAUCUGAAGAGCUAGUCUAUCAGCAUCUGACAGGUGAAUUGGAUGGUUCUCAGAACCAUUUCACCCAGACAGCCUGUUUCUAUCCUGUUUAAUAAAUUAGUUUGGGUUCUCUACAUGCAUAACAAACCCUGCUCCAAUCUGUCACAUAAAAGUCUGUGACUUGAAGUUUAGUCAGCACCCCCACCAAACUUUAUUUUUCUAUGUGUUUUUUGCAACAUAUGAGUGUUUUGAAAAUAAAGUACCCAUGUCUUUAUUAGAUUU